UAUGAGAGCUCUAUCCAGAAGC
rnacentral:miRNA from 1 species